rnacentral:rRNA from 1 species
GACGAAGGGAGCUAGCGUUGUUCGGAAUCACUGGGCGUAAAGCGCACGUAGGCGGAUGUGUCAGUCAGGGGUGAAAUCCCGGAGCUCAACUUCGGAACUGCCCUUGAUACAGCACGUCUUGAGUCCGGAAGAGGUGGGUGGAAUUCCUAGUGUAGAGGUGAAAUUCGUAGAUAUUAGGAAGAACACCGGUGGCGAAGGCGGCCCACUGGUCCGGUACUGACGCUGAGGUGCGAAAGCGUGGGGAGCAAACAGG